rnacentral:sRNA from 1 species
UUUUACACAUUCUCUGAAACAGUGUAAAUNCGUAAGUMUUAUAUGNUGCACCCAGACAGGCUGCUCCCCUGCAUGAACANCUUAAACNAWUCAGACACCAUNCUUUAAUCAUAGCCCWCACCCAKGGAUCACAGAAASCKUAAGUWGYCGGUAUGAUAUGUUAGUAUUCUGCCAUUGGGUAGUUUCAUANUUUCUUGUAAUUGUGCUGUUUGAGUGAAGCGUGUUCUUUUUAUGAAAUGUUUUUGUUACUUUAUUGUGUUUUUUGUGAGCAUUUAGUGUUUGCUGNUCCUGCUGAGUGCUGCUUUCCCUUUCCGGUUUGUUUGCUGUUCCUGCUGAGUGCUGCUUUCCCUUUCCGGUUUGUUUGCUGUUCCUGCUGAGUGUUGUUUUCCCUUUCCGGUUUGUUUGCUGUUCCUGCUGAGUGCUGGUUUCCCUGUCCGGUUUGUUUGCUGUUCCUGCUGAGUGCUGCUUUCCCUGUCCGGUUUGUUUGCUGUUCCUGCUGAGUGUUGCUUUCCCUGUCCGGUUUGUUUGCUGUUCCUGCUGAGUGCUGCUUUCCCUGUCCGGUUUGUUUGCU